AAAAGCAAAACUACGUUACUCCGUUACCAGGCAAAUUAUCAUGUUCGCUGUUUUCUUUUUUUUGAUAACGCCCAAAUAAAAUAAAUUUUUAACGUUAGGACGACACUGAAAAUAUAGGUAUUUAGUGUUGAAAAAUCGUUCAGAGGCAAUCAUGACCAUUCUUUAUUUUUUGUUUCUGUUCUCAAGCACUGUGUCAGGAUUUCUGGUUCAAAAUGGAUCCACGGGAAUUUCCAGCUCUCAGACUAGUGCUGACAGAACAAUACAAAACCUGCUCAAUUUGAUUGUAAACGAACAGAACUCGAGGCUUCAGCUGCAGAACAUUGUUACGACUUUGAGCAACAAAAUUGACCAGCUUGAAAAUGCACAAGACCAAAUGCAGAAGAAUUCGGAUGUUAAACUUAAUCAAACGGAAAAUGAAAUGGUGAAGAAAUUGAAUGAAAUGAGCGCUAGAUUAGUUCAAAUGGAACAAUUCAAUACAGAGGUCUCAAAACAACUGGACAAGGAGAAAAAUAAUAGGGAAUAUCUAGAAGAAAUGAUUACAGUCUUAGAAAAACGUGUGAAUAAUUUAACAAUAGAGUGUGGAACUAGUACAACACAAUCAGAAAAAACGUAAUAUAGAAACGACACUGAACAAUUUGACAAGCUUGUUCACAAUCAACCGUAACAAUCUAACAGAUGUGAAUAUGAAACUCAUAAACUUGGCCAGCCUAUAUAAAAACGAUUUCAACGCCAUGGAAGUGAAGCUUCAAAACCUGACUAACUCAAGCAGCUAUAUGCAAGACAAGCUUGCUGCUGUAGAAACAAAACUGAACAACUUAACAUUUGGCGAAAAUGAAAUCCAUAUUAGACUAAAUAAUAUUUCAAACGAGAAUGUUGCUCUGAAAUUACUAUUUCGUAAUUUAACGAAACAGACUGAAACAAGAAGUAAUGUAACUAACUACGAAAUGGUAACAUUACAGGCCACUCUGACACAAAAUCAACAUGAACUCGCAGUUAUCAAUUCAACACUUUCUGGUAUGAUAAAAAGUGUGACGAUCAAUGGUUUAAUUAAAUAUCAUGAAGCAGUUGGGUUCUCUGUCAAUAACCCUGAUAAAUCGUCUGGAAGUCCUUUGAAGUACCAAACUCUAACGUACAAUACAGGACAUGGAUACAACAUGUCUACUGGGGUGUUCACAUGUUAAUAUCCCGGGCUCUACUUCUUCACAGCAACUAUGUUUAGAUUACCAGGUGUCUACGAAAGUGUCUGCUUUUUCUACGUUAACAACAACGAAUACAAUAGGUUAAAUAGUGGUGUCGGAUCAGAAACGGGAUAUAAUUCAGCAACGGAAUCGAUUGUUUUCAUGUUAGAUGUAGGAGACAGGGUUUAUAUAUCGAGAUGUAGUAACGUUGGUCACAUGUAUCGUUAUACUAGUUUUUCCGGAUUCCUUAUUUCAAAUUAGAUAUCCAUUUAAACAAAUACCUUCUUAACUUCUUCAUUGUUGCUUGAAUCUAAACAAUUACAAGUAAUGUUACACUGCUAUUAAGAUAAAUUCAUGAUAUAUUCUUGAUCAAUGAAGAAAAGUAUUAUAAUGAUCAAAACAAUUUUUUAGUGUUCAUAAAAUGUGUAAUUUUAUAAAAUAUGCUGCAAUUAUGAUAAAUACUUGUGUGCACAUUGAAAAGAAAAGAUAGUGGUUUUAUAAUAAUGGCCUGUAUUCGGACUUGUCUUUCGCACAUGUUUGACGGUAUAUGCCCACUUAAGUAUUGAGAGUUUUUGAACAUGAACAUACCUAAACUGGAGAACACUGGGUUUAAUCUGCAAGUCCAGAUGACAUUUGCUUGUUUCUUUGUCCGAGCGAAAUACAUUUCACCGUGUGAACACAAGAUGUAAUUAAAAUAUAUGGUCACAAGUGGCUUAGAUAGAAGUAAAAAUGCACGACAGUGUGUUUACGAGUGAAAGAUAUUCUGAUCUUAUAUGCAUGCAAAAAAGACAUUUUAUUUCAAACUGUUGUCUUUUCCAAUGGUCUUAACCACAUUUUACUCAUUUGACUGUUUUUGAGUAAAGAUAAAUAUAUAAUAUUAUGUCA
rnacentral:lncRNA from 1 species